AGGGGACUAGCGUUGUUCGGAAUUACUGGGCGUAAAGCGCACGUAGGCGGAUUAGUCAGUCAGAGGUGAAAUCCCAGGGCUCAACCCUGGAACUGCCUUUGAUACUGCUAGUCUUGAGUUCGAGAGAGGUGAGUGGAAUUCCGAGUGUAGAGGUGAAAUUCGUAGAUAUUCGGAAGAACACCAGUGGCGAAGGCGACAUACUGGCUCAUUACUGACGCUGAGGCGCGAAAGCGUGGGGAGCAAACGGG
rnacentral:rRNA from 1 species